AUGAUGAUAUCUCUCUCUUGCGAAGAUGCAUUGUACUCUCUUUCCGGUGAUCGAUUUGAGAAUAUAGUUAAAUUAGAUUCGCCAAACAUUCCAGUUCUACCUCAACUUCCACCUCGGUUUCCAGUGACAAGUAGGAGACUAAUACAUAGCGACACAGUGAGACGGAGGACAAUAAUAAACAACGACUUCUCUUUUGAAAUUUUGCGUCCCAUUUGUUGUAACAGCACUUUGUCUCCAAUAUCAUAA